rnacentral:rRNA from 1 species
AUGUGGAGGACAGUGGGAUGCGUUUUGGGCACGGAUAGAUGCUCUAACAAUAUUUGGCAAUAUUUUGCUUGGUGUUAUUGUUUUAUUCCUGGUGGGGAGAGGUUCUAUACCUUUGGCCUAGCUGCUCUUUGCUGGGAGAUGUGGAAUUGCCGAAAUAAAAGAAUCUUUGAAUUCAAAAAGUUAAAGUCCCCUUUUGAUGUGGUGUACUCUGCUUGUGGGUAUCUAUCUUAUUGGGCAGGAUUGCUAUUGGGUGAAGAUCGGGAGGCGAUGGAGUGUGGCUCUAAGAUGUUGAGGAUCAACGCCUUAAACAUGAUGAGGAUGUGUGCAGCGCCAAGAGACACGAUGCAAAGCAGAUGA